CCAAUAGCGUAUAUUAAAGUUGUUGCAGUUAAAAAGCUCGUAGUUGAAUUUCGGGAUUGACGUGAUGGUCAUGCCUUAAGGGGUAUGAACUGUCACUGUUGAUUUCUCACCUUCUGGAGAAACUUGAUGUCCUUUAUUGGGUGUCUUGCGGAUCCAGGACCUUUACCUUGAAAAAAUUAGAGUGUUUAAAGCAGGCAUUUUUGCUCGAAUACAUUAGCAUGGAAUAAUAGAAUAGGACGGCAUGGUUCUAUUUUGUUGGUUUCUAGGAUCACCGUAAUGAUUAAUAGGGAUAGUUGGGGGCAUUAGUAUUCAAUUGUCAGAGGUGAAAGUCUUGGAUUUAUUGAAGACUAACUACUGCGAAAGCAUUUGCCAAGGAUGUUUUCAUUAAUCAAGAACGAAAGUUAGGGGAUCGAAGACGAUCAGAUACCGUCGUAGUCUUAACCAUAAACUAUGCCGACUAGGAAUCAGACGAUGUUAAUUUUUUAAUGACUCGUUUGGCACCUUACG
rnacentral:rRNA from 1 species